AAUGGCUUUAGUGGCGGACUGGUGAGUAACGCGUGAGCAACCUGCCUACUAGAGGGGAAUAACAGUGAGAAAUCAUUGCUAAUACCGCAUAUGUCAUGAACAUCACAUGAUGAAAAUGGGAAAAGAGUAAUCUGCUAGUAGAUGGGCUCGCGUCUGAUUAGAUAGUUGGUGGGGUAACGGCCUACCAAGUCAACGAUCAGUAGCCGGACUGAGAGGUUGAACGGCCACAUUGGGACUGAGAUACGGCCCAGACUCCUACGGGAGGCAGCAGUCGGGAAUAUUGCGCAAUGGAGGAAACUCUGACGCAGUGACGCCGCGUAUAGGAAGAAGGUUUUCGGAUUGUAAACUAUUGUCGUUAGGGAAGAUACAAGACAGUACCUAAGGAGGAAGCUCCGGCUAACUACGUGCCAGCAGCCGCGGUAAUACGUAGGGAGCAAGCGUUAUCCGGAUUUAUUGGGUGUAAAGGGUGCGUAGACGGGACAACAAGUUAGUUGUGAAAUCCCUCGGCUUAACUGAGGAACUGCAACUAAAACUAUUGUUCUUGAGUGUUGGAGAGGAAAGUGGAAUUCCUAGUGUAGCGGUGAAAUGCGUAGAUAUUAGGAGGAACACCGGUGGCGAAGGCGACUUUCUGGACAAUAACUGACGUUGAGGCACGAAAGUGUGGGGAGCAAACAGGAUUAGAUACCCUGGUAGUC
rnacentral:rRNA from 1 species